GUCUGUGAUGACUUUCCAAGUUGACUUCAAUAUGGUUAUGUCCUACUGUGACUGGCAUCCUAAGUGUCACAGAGCAGGAACAGGACAGGUCAGGGCUGGUGUUUGCAGUGAAGGUGUCAGGGCCUGCCUGGUGCCUCCUUUAAAUCUCUGCAUUCAUCACUUGUCAUCCCUCUGACUCUCUGACCCCUCUUGGUUCACCCUGCCUGCUCCUCUUCUCCCUGUGUCCCUCAUCUCUCCUCUCUCUGCAAGUAGGGGAGUGGCAGAGUGGAGGACCUGGUGACACCUUGCAUGACAGCAGCUGUCAGUCUCUCCUAUCAAUUACAACGGCUGAGUGACACCCGCUUCAGUCCUGGACCUUUUAUUCACCGUCUGGGAAUCUCUACAAAACUAAGAAAGCCCAAUCACCCUAAUGCAGACCCCAGCUCCUCCCUUAACAUUUCACCUUUUCCAGUAGAGCGGUUCAUUAUUGAGCCAACUGAAAACUUUAAAAAAAGAUGUAGAGAGAGAGGGGGAGAUGUAGCAAUUUGCAAUUUAAUGGUGACUAUAUGCCUCCUCUCAGGGUUUGGACUAAAUUCCUCAUGUAAAAAGUUUCCUUUGAAUGGAAAACUCUACUGAUCCCAGCUUUGCCAGAUCUCAUUUAGAUCCACCUGAGGGGGCAUCGGGUGGCGUGCAAUCCAAGAGACGGGAUGUCUGGGGUGGGGAAGGAUUAGAGGAGACUCCCCCUGGCUGGCUGGGGUCCUGGGCUGUCUGAGAGGCCCUCCUGUUUGCCUAUGAGGAUGUGUGUUGGUUUUCCAAUGUUGUUGUAUUCUACCCUCUGUGAAAUGGUGUGUGGCUUUAGAUCAGACAGUUUGAGAUCAGCAGGAUCACUAGCCUUUUAAAAUCCCUUGUCUUUCAAGUCCUUUAUUAUUCCUUUAAUAUACCUUGUUACUUUCCCAUUCCGCAGCUCUUUUCUCCAGGCUUGUUUUAAUUUGUUUUAUAUGUGUGAUGUUUACUUUCACUUGCUUGUUAAAACACUUGAAGUCUGCAUUAAAGAAAUAAUACCCA